UACGUAGGGGGCUAGCGUUGUCCGGAAUCAUUGGGCGUAAAGCGCGUGUAGGCGGUCCGGUAAGUCCGCUGUGAAAGUCGGGGGCUCAACCCUCGGAUGCCGGUGGAUACUGUCGGGCUUGAGUACGGAAGAGGUGAGUGGAAUUCCUGGUGUAGCGGUGAAAUGCGCAGAUAUCAGGAAGAACACGCGUGGCGAAGGCGGCUCUCUGGGACGGUACUGACGCUGAGACGCGAAAGCGUGGGGAGCGAACAGG
rnacentral:rRNA from 1 species